rnacentral:rRNA from 1 species
AGCAGCCGCGGUAAUUCCAGCUCCAAUAGCGUAUAUUAAAGUUGUUGCAGUUAAAAAGCUCGUAGUUGAAUUUCGGGAUCAAUCUAUCGGUCGUGCAAUAGUACGUACUGAUUUUAUUGAUUCCUCCCUUCUGAUGAACUAUGAUGUCAUUAAUUUGGUGUCAUAGGGAAUCAGGACUGUUACUUUGAAAAAAUUAGAGUGUUUAAAGCAGGCUCACGCUUGAAUACAUUAGCAUGGAAUAACGAAAUAGGACGUGUGGUUCUAUUUUGUUGGUUUCUAAGAUUGACGUAAUGAUUAAUAGGGAUAGUUGGGGGCAUUAGUAUUCAAUUGUCAGAGGUGAAAUUCUUGGAUUUAU